GGAGUGGUAGUUCAGUCGGUUAGAACGCUGGCCUGUCAAGCCAGAGGCCGCGGGUUCAAGUCCCGUCCGCUCCG
rnacentral:tRNA from 1 species